rnacentral:rRNA from 1 species
GAUGAACGCUAGCGGCAGGCUUAAUACAUGCAAGUCGAGGGGCAGCGGGAAUAGCAAUAUUUGCCGGCGACCGGCGCACGGGUGCGUAACACGUAUACAAUCUGCCUCUUACUGGAGGAUAGCCCGGAGAAAUUCGGAUUAAUACUCCAUAACAGCUGAAUAGGCAUCUAUUUGGCUUGAAAGCUCCGGCGGUAAGAGAUGAGUAUGCGACUGAUUAGCUUGUUGGUGUGGUAACGGCUCACCAAGGCUACGAUCAGUA